rnacentral:rRNA from 1 species
GACGAACGCUGGCGGCGUGCCUAAUACAUGCAAGUAGAACGCACAGUUUAUACCGUAGCUUGCUACACCAUAGACUGUGAGUUGCGAACGGGUGAGUAACGCGUAGGUAACCUGCCUGGUAGCGGGGGAUAACUAUUGGAAACGAUAGCUAAUACCGCAUAAUAUUAAUUAUUGCAUGAUAAUUAAUUGAAAGGUGCAAUUGCACCACUACCAGAUGGACCUGCGUUGUAUUAGCUAGUAGGUGAGGUAACGGCUCACCUAGGCGACGAUACAUAGCCGACCUGAGAGGGUGAUCGGCCACACUGGGACUGAGACACGGCCCAGACUCCUACGGGAGGCAGAAGUAGGGAAUCUUCGGCAAUGGACGAAAGUCUGACCGAGCAACGCCGCGUGAGUGAAGAAGGUUUUCGGAUCGUAAAGCUCUGUUGUAAGAGAAGAACGGGUGUGAGAGUGGAAAGUUCACACUGUGACGGUAUCUUACCAGAAAGGGACGGCUAACUACGUG